UACGUAGGGUCCGAGCGUUGUCCGGAGUGACUGGGCGUAAAGCGCGCGCAGGCGGCCCGCGAGGUGUCCUGUGAAAGCCCCGUGCUCAACGCGGGAGGGUCAGGGCAAACCGGCGGGCUUGAGGCCGGUAGAGGUGGGUGGAACUCCUGGUGGAGUGGUGAAAUUCGUAGAUAUUGGGAAGAACACCGGUGGCGAAGGCGGCUCACUGGCCCGUAACUGACGCUCAUGCACGACAGCGUGGGGAUCAAACAGG
rnacentral:rRNA from 1 species